CUCAGUGGUGCUGUCCUAGACAGAAAGUAAACGCAACAGUGUAUUUCAACAGGCAAAGGCCAGUGACAAUUUACAUGACGGUAAAUACUCCUCAAUACUGCAUCGAAUCAAAGCAUUUAUUACUCCACUUUCUAAAAUUUAAGGGUUAAGGUGUUAGGAUUUGAAAUAAGACACCUUUUUAAACAGAAUCCCUCUUCAUCUUCUACCAAAACAAACUGUUACCUAAAUGUCAACAGGAAGAAGAUGCAGUGUCCGACACGUAGCAAACACGCGAGAAGAGCUCAUUUAAGAGGAAAUCACAUGAAAACAAGGACACACUGCCCCCAAAAGAAAAUAUUCUCCGCGCCACUGAGCUUCUGUUAGAACAUACAAAGUUUUGCUCAUCUCCC
rnacentral:lncRNA from 10 species